GUAGGGGGCGAGCGUUGUCCGGAUUUAUUGGGCGUAAAGAGCUCGUAGGCGGUUUGGUAAGUUGGAUGUGAAAUCUCCAGGCUCAACUUGGAGGGGUCAUUCGAUACUGCCAUGACUAGAGUUCGGUAGGGGAGUGUGGAAUUUCUGGUGGAGCGGUGAAAUGCGCAGAUAUCAGGAGGAACACCCGUAGCGAAGGCGGCACUCUGGGCCGGAACUGACGCUGAGGAGCGAAAGCGUGGGGAGCGAACAGGAUUAGAUACCCUGGUAGUCCACGCCGUAAACGUUGGGCACUAGGUGUGGGGUUCUAUCGACGGAUUCCGUGCCGUAGCUAACGCAUUAAGUGCCCCGCCUGGGGAGUACGGCCGCAAGGCUA
rnacentral:rRNA from 1 species